rnacentral:tRNA from 1 species
GUGGGUAUAGCUCAGUGGUAGAGCAUGUGCUUAGCGUGUGUCAGGUCCUGGAUUCAAUCCCCAGUACCUCCA